AUUUGAAAGUGCCUAGUAGAAUGCCUGGCAUACAGUUGGUGCUCAGCAAAUAUUAAAAUUAAACAAAAGGACUAACAGUAACAACAAACAAAUAAACAAAUAAAAACAUGCUAGGCACUGGAUGGAACAACUAUAGCUGUUUCCAUCUGAUAGCUGAGGUUCAGAGACCUUAAGUCACCGGGCAAAAACGACACAGAUAUAUGAACUUAACCAAACUCAAUCUCUCUUACCCUCAAUUUCCCCAUGAGAAAAGUGGGAAUAGAAAUAGGUAAUGCUCACAUUGCCAUAAAGAUAAACUGAAAUAGUACAUCCAAGAAUGGCUAGAUGAUACAUAGCACAGAGUCAAAAAACAAAAACAAACAGACGAACAAAAAACAAGAAAAGGAAAGGAAGCAAAAACCAAAAGAUAAAGGAGAGAAUAAAGGGAAAAAAACUACACUUUGGGAAUUAGAGACAAAAUUAUUUUUCCCAUGCAGCUACCGCAAAAAUUGAGGAUUAUAAUACAUAAAUAUUAUGCCCAGCAUCACACUGCUUGAUGCUGGCAAAAUGGAACUUGACUCAUCUCCUUGCAUCAGUAGGCUUUUUCCAUUACUAAGCUCAUUUGUUGCUCCUUACCAAGUCCAUAGCCCGCAAGGCUACUCUGAGGAUAUUUAGUGUUAUGAGCAAAUCUGUAUUCCAGGCAUACAGAAGAGCUUUGUUCAUACAUCCCAUAUUGGAAUUCCAGAUUGAGGGAAUGCCAGGUUGUACAGAGAAGGCUGUAGGUCACUGUCAGACCAUAAUUGUCCUUUAAAAUAUUCUCCUGUAGAGAAAGGAAUUCAAUUUAAUAAAAUUGAGUAAAUUGAAAAAAGUAAAGACUAUGGCAAGGAAGCUAAGAGGUCAGGUUCUGAAGUUAGACUGACAAGGGUAUGAGUCUGAGCCUACCACUAUCUUGGGCAAAUCAAGUAAAAUUCUUUUCUAUAAAAUGGAGAUAAUUUCUACUUCUUGAGAUUGCUGUGCAGAUUAAAUGGCACAAUACAUGUAAAGUUCUCAGGAGAGUGUCUAAAAUAGCUCUCUAUUAAUGUUAACUACGGAGUCAUCCAAGCACACCCGUAUAGAGGCUGCAUUCCUAUGGAACCUCAUAUAGGUACUCCCUGGACAGUAAAAUACUCUAUUUUGGCCCACACCUAA
rnacentral:lncRNA from 1 species